GACGAACGCUGGCGGCGUGCCUAAUACAUGCAAGUCGAGCGCAGGAAACUGACGGAACUCUUCGGAGGGAAGGCAGUGGGAUGAGCGGCGGACGGGUGAGUAACACGUAAGGAACCUGCCUCAAGGAUCGGGAUAACUCCGAGAAAUCGGAGCUAAUACCGGAUAGUUCAUCGGACCGCAUGGUCCGUUGAUGAAAGGCGCUUCGGCGUCACCUUGAGAUGGCCUUGCGGUGCAUUAGCUAGUUGGUGGGGUAACGGCCCACCAAGGCGACGAUGCAUAGCCGACCUGAGAGGGUGAUCGGCCACACUGGGACUGAGACACGGCCCAGACGCCGACGGGAGGCAGCAGUAGGGAAUCUUCCACAAUGGACGAAAGUCUGAUGGAGCAACGCCGCGUGAGUGAUGAAGGUUUUCGGAUCGUAAAACUCUGUUGUAAGGGAAGAACACGUACGAGAGGAAAUGCUCGUACCUUGACGGUACCUUACGAGAAAGCCACGGCUAACUACGUGCCAGCCGCCGCAGUAA
rnacentral:rRNA from 1 species